rnacentral:rRNA from 1 species
CAAUAGCGUAUAUUAAAGUUGUUGCGGUUAAAAAGCUCGUAGUUGGAUUUCUGCUGAGGACGACCGGUCCGCCCUCUGGGUGAGUAUCUGGCUCGGCCUUGGCAUCUUCUUGGAGAACGUUACUGCACUUGACUGUGUGGUGCGGUAUCCAGGACUUUUACUUUGAGGAAAUUAGAGUGUUUCAAGCAGGCAUACGCCUUGAAUACAUUAGCAUGGAAUAAUAAGAUAGGACCUUGGUUCUAUUUUGUUGGUUUCUAGAGCUGAGGUAAUGAUUAAUAGGGAUAGUUGGGGGCAUUCGUAUUUAACUGUCAGAGGCGAAAUUCUUGGAUUUGUUAAAGACGGACUACUGCGAAAGCAUUUGCCAAGGAUGUUUUCAUUGA